rnacentral:lncRNA from 1 species
UGAGAAUGUGAGUCCAGUUGCAUGCAAGUUGGUAGAUUCGAUGGUGGAAGAGAAUUUUUCUUACUUCCGUGAGUUUUUCACUGAGAGUAAAGGUGGUCUGGAGAGAAUGUGGAAUUUGAAAGAAGAACUAAAAUAUCCUUAAGGCAUGAAAGUUUAUCCUUUCACCAGAGACUACAAUUAAUAUUUCAAGGCUGAAUUAGAUCUGCUCACCUAAAAUGGAACAGAAGGCCGCAAGGAAAACAUUGUCAGGAGAAGGGUGAUCUCUGCACAAACUGGCUCCCCUUCGCCUUCCACCAAGAGUGGAAGCAGCCUGAGACACCCAGUCUUCUAACCAGCAGA